AUUGAACGCUGGCGGCAUGCCUUACACAUGCAAGUCGAACGGUAACAGGUUAAGCUGACGAGUGGCGAACGGGUGAGUAAUACAUCGGAACGUGCCCAGACGUGGGGGAUAGCUCGGCGAAAGCCGGAUUAAUACCGCAUGUGAUCUGAGGAUGAAAGCGGGGGACCGUAAGGCCUCGCGCGUUUGGAGCGGCCGAUGGCAGAUUAGGUAGUUGGUGGGGUAAAGGCUUACCAAGCCUACGAUCUGUAGCUGGUCUGAGAGGACGACCAGCCACACUGGGACUGAGACACGGCCCAGACUCCUACGGGAGGCAGCAGUGGGGAAUUUUGGACAAUGGGCGAAAGCCUGAUCCAGCAAUGCCGCGUGCAGGAUGGAGGCCUUCGGGUUGUAAACUGCUUUUGUACGGAACGAAAAGGCGCCUACUAAUACUGGGUGUUGAUGACGGUACCGUAAGAAUAAGCACCGGCUAACUACGUGCCAGCCGCCGCGGUAAAAC
rnacentral:rRNA from 1 species